GACAGAGGGUGCAAGCGUUAAUCGGAAUUACUGGGCGGAAAGCGCGCGUAGGUGGUUUGUUAAGUUGAAUGUGAAAUCCCCGGGCUCAACCUGGGAACUGCAUGCAAAACUGGCAAGCUAGAGUAUGGUAGAGGGUGGUGGAAUUUCCUGUGUAGCGGUGAAAUGCGUAGAUAUAGGAAGGAACACCAGUGGCGAAGGCGACCACCUGGACUGAUACUGACACUGAGGUGCGAAAGCGUGGGGAGCAAACAGG
rnacentral:rRNA from 1 species